CGAGGAAAGAGUGCAUUUGUCGGGGACUACUUUCAGCAGCGGAUUAAUCCACAUGUGGUGCUCUUGUCACAAAACGUGUUAAU